rnacentral:rRNA from 1 species
CGCAUCUGUGCAUGCAGCAUAUCAAUAAGCGGAGGAAAAGAAACUAACAAGGAUUCCCCUAGUAACGGCGAGUGAAGCGGGAAGGGCUCAAAUUUGAAAUCUUAAAGGGUUUUCCCUUUACGAAUUGUAGUUUAAAGAAGUGUUUUUCUGUUGAGGUUUUUGGUAAAAGUUCUUUGGAAUAGGACAUCAUAGAGGGUGAGAAUCCCGUAUUUGACCUUUACUUUCAACUUUGUGAUACACUUUCAAAGAGUCGGAUUGUUUGGGAAUGCAGUCCAAAAUGGGUGGUAAAUUUCAUCUAAAGCUAAAUAUUGGCGAGAGACCGAUAGCGAACAAGUACCGUGAGGGAAAGAUGAAAAGAACUUUGAAAAGAGAGUUAAACAGUACGUGAAAUUGUCAAAAGGGAAGCGUUUGACACCAGUGUUGUUUUUUCUGAAAAUCAAUUAAAGAACUGUUUAUGCUAAGCUGUUUAGACUUUAUCAGCUAAUCUGUUUAGUUUUGAGCUUUUCCUUUAAUGCACUUUUCAGUUAACAAGUCAACAUCAAUUUCUUUUGCUGUAAAAAAGCUUGAGGAAGGUGGCUUGAGAUUCGUCUUAAGUGUUUAUAGCCUCUUGCCUAUGCAGUCGGAGAGAUUGAGGUCUGCAGCGUAGAUCCUUCGGGGCUAAAUGCAUUUGUGCUAAGUUAUAGCAUUUUAUAGACAACUUGUUGACUAUGAUUUGUCUUGUAGCUUACUCGCUUAUGUUAUUUUACCUACGCUUAGGAUGUUGAGCGCAUGUCUCUCUCU